rnacentral:ncRNA from 2 species
GGCACACGCUAGGGGUCCUGCUGUCGCAAACGCGACACGCGGGUGAGAAAUACCCUCCGAACCUGAUCUGGAUAAUGCCAGCGAAGGGAAGCAGUCAGAACACGGC